AUGCUCCCCGCGGCUCCGGCGGGUAGACAGGUAACUGCCCCUGAAGGGGCGAGGCCAUACAGGGGCGCGGCCUCGGGCUGCACAACCCGGGGCGGCGAUGAGAGGGUUAACGCCCCGGAGGGCCCUGGCGGGGCGGGGCCGCGGGAUGAGCGCGGCCCGAGGGAGGUGCUGGGGGCGGAAGCGGCACGAGGUGUGCACCCUGCGCGCCCGGCUUCUUUCCGCCCGGCUCUUCCAGAGGCCCGGCGACUUCCUGGGCUGGGAAGCCAACCGAGGCCAAUCUCAAACUGGAGCUCAACUUUUAGAAGAGAGACGCCCCAGCAAGCCUCUUUCGGGGAGCCCUAUAGCUCCUCACCUCCAUGGGCGAGACAGCCCUGGCGGGGGGCAGCAGCAGCACCCCCACCCCACAGGCCCUGUACCCUGACGUCUCCUGUCCCGAGGGCUUGGAAGAGCUGCUGUCUGCACACCCUCCUGACCGGGGGGCCCAACGACGCCACGGUUGGAACCCCAUAGACUGUUCAGAGAACAUCGAGGUCAAGGAAGGAGGGUUGUACUUUGAGCGGAGGCCCAUGUCCCAGAGCACUGAUGGUGUCCGGGGUAAGGGGCUAUUCAAGAGGCCUGCACGCCUGGGAGAUCAGCUGGCCCCUAGAGCAGAGAGGCCCGUAUGCCGUGGUGGGCGUGGCCACGGCCCGCGCCCCGCUGCCGACUAAGCACUAGGCGGCGCUGCUGGGCAGCAACAGCGAGUCGUGGGGCUGGGACAUCGGGCGGGGGAAGCUGUACCAUCAGACCAAGGGGCCCGGAGCGCCCCAGUAUCCAGCGGGAACUUAGGGUGAGCAGCUGGAGGUGCCAGAGAGGCUGCUGGUGGUUCUGGACAUGGAGGAGGGAACUCUGGGCUACGCUAUUGGGAGCACCUACCUGGGGACAGCCUUCCGCGGACUGAAGGGCAGGACCCUCUAUCCGGCAGUAAGCGCUGUCUGGGGCCAGUGCCAGGUCCGCAUCCGCUACCUGGGCGAAAGGAGAGGUGAGGCCUGGGGCAGAUGUGGGGAGAACUUUCUGUCCCUGGUGGCAGCGGUUUGGGAUGGAAACUCUUCUGACAAGAGCAGAGGGGAUGCACCUUCGUCCAGCCUGCCUCUCGCCUCUGUUCAGUGCUGGGAAAGGCUAGGGGUCUUUACAGCUGUGAUUUAAUCCAACAGCAAUAGAGGCUUGAGAAAGCAACUUUCUCACGUUUUCUUGGCCAGUAAAUGGUGAACCUUCAGAAUGGAGGGAGGCACUCCAGGGAUGAGACAAUUCAGGAGGUAUCAACCCCUGAGCAAGAGGCGCAAAGGGUUAGGUACUGGGUUUGAUGUACAGGUCCAAAAGGAGGAGGACAGGCAGAGCCAGGUACCCGGGGUGUGUACCGGAUUCUCCGGGCUCUGACCUGUCUCUGUGCCACAUACCCACUUCCUUCCUCAGC
rnacentral:lncRNA from 1 species